GACGAACGCUGGCGGCGUGCUUAACACAUGCAAGUCGAACGGAAAGGCCCUGCUUUUGUGGGGUGCUCGAGUGGCGAACGGGUGAGUAACACGUGAGUAACCUGCCCUUGACUUUGGGAUAACUUCAGGAAACUGGGGCUAAUACCGGAUAGGAGCUCCUGCUGCAUGGUGGGGGUUGGAAAGUUUCGGCGGUUGGGGAUGGACUCGCGGCUUAUCAGCUUGUUGGUGGGGUAGUGGCUUACCAAGGCUUUGACGGGUAGCCGGCCUGAGAGGGUGACCGGGCAAAGUGGGAUGGAGAUACGGCCCAGACUCCUGGGGGAGUGAGCAGUGGGGAAUAGUGCACAAUGGGCGGAAGCCUGAUGCAGCAACGCCGCGUGCGGGAUGACGGCCUUCGGGUUGUAGACCGAUUACGCCUGGGCCGAAGCGUGAGGGGCGGUAAUGGGUAAAGAAGCACCGGCAAACUACGUG
rnacentral:rRNA from 1 species